rnacentral:rRNA from 1 species
AAGCUCAAAUUUGAAAUCUGGUACCUUCGGUGCCCGAGUUGUAAUUUGGAGAGGGCAACUUUGGGGCCGUUCCUUGUCUAUGUUCCUUGGAACAGGACGUCAUAGAGGGUGAGAAUCCCGUGUGGCGAGGAGUGCGGUUCUUUGUAAAGUGCCUUCGAAGAGUCGAGUUGUUUGGGAAUGCAGCUCUAAGUGGGUGGUAAAUUCCAUCUAAAGCUAAAUAUUGGCGAGAGACCGAUAGCGAACAAGUACAGUGAUGGAAAGAUGAAAAGAACUUUGAAAAGAGAGUGAAAAAGUACGUGAAAUUGUUGAAAGGGAAGGGCAUUUGAUCAGACAUGGUGUUUUGUGCCCUCUGCUCCUUGUGGGUAGGGGAAUCUCGCAUUUCACUGGGCCAGCAUCAGUUUUGGUGGCAGGAUAAAUCCAUAGGAAUGUAGCUUGCCUCGGUAAGUAUUAUAGCCUGUGGGAAUACUGCCAGCUGGGACUGAGGACUGCGACGUAAGUCAAGGAUGCUGGCAUAAUGGUUAUAUGCCGCCCGUCUUGAAA